rnacentral:rRNA from 1 species
AUUGAACGCUGGCGGCAUGCCUUACACAUGCAAGUCGAACGGCAGCACGGGUGCUUGCACCUGGUGGCGAGUGGCGAACGGGUGAGUAAUACAUCGGAACGUACCUUAUCGUGGGGGAUAACGCAGCGAAAGCUGUGCUAAUACCGCAUACGCCCUGAGGGGGAAAGCGGGGGAUCGAAAGACCUCGCGCGAUUAGAGCGGCCGAUGCCUGAUUAGCUUGUUGGUGGGGUAAAAGCCCACCAAGGCGACGAUCAGUAGCUGGUCUGAGAGGACGAUCAGCCACACUGGGACUGAGACACGGCCCAGACUCCUACGGGAGGCAGCAGUGGGGAAUUAUGGGCAAUGGGGGCAACCCUGAUCCAGCAAUGCCGCGUGAGUGAAGAAGGCCUUCGGGUUGUAAAGCUCUUUUGUCAGGGAAGAAACACCGGCUCUAACACAGUCCGGGAAUGACGGUACCUGAAGAAUAAGCACCGGCUAACUACGUGCCAGCAGCCGCGGUAA